rnacentral:misc_RNA from 1 species
AUUCUCUCUGUGUUUCUCUGCACUUGCAUUGCAUCCCGCUAUAAACAAGUCGUCUCGCUUCAAAGGACCAAAGCCUCUCAAAGUCCCAGCUCAAAAGCAAAGAUCCACUCCACUCUUUCUUUCACCAUUUUCGCUUCCAAGGAAAACGAAAUCUUACGAGUGCAGAAUUGAAUGGAUCUAAAUUCUUUCACAAGGAGGCGAUUAUCGCUCUCAAAGUACCCAGAUCACGGCCUCCCCCAGCUCUCUCGACUCCAACUCCGGAGAUUCGGAUCCAGUACCAUGACUCUCACCAAGAUCUUGGCAGCCGGUUUGGUUGCUUUGUCUGUAUUAUUCGCUCUCUCCAUGUUGCUACGACACCA